AAAACAACGAUGAUGGAAACAAGACAUUUCAUAGUCUACAGAGAGCCGGUGUAUGGUGCAAACCGGUGGCGAAGUGAUGAUCUUAGCAUUCCUGAGAAACUGCAUUGAAAUGAAGUAGGUGUAGUCGGAUGACCUCCGUUAUCAGUUAUGGUCUUUAUUGAUCAUUGAGACUGCUGAUGUCUAGCAGUGAAUUAGGGUGGUACCACGAACAACUCUCGUCCCUUAC
rnacentral:ncRNA from 1 species